rnacentral:rRNA from 1 species
CAGCCGCCACGGUAAUACGGAGGGCGCGAGCGUUACCCGGAUUUACUGGGCGUAAAGCGUGCGUAGGCGGUUUGUUAAGUCUGUUGUGAAAUCCCCGGGCUCAACCUGGGAAUGGCAAUGGAUACUGGCAAGCUAGAGUGUGUCAGAGGAUGGUGGAAUUCCCGGUGUAGCGGUGAAAUGCGUAGAGAUCGGGAGGAACAUCAGUGGCGAAGGCGGCCAUCUGGGACAACACUGACGCUGAGGCACGAAAGCGUGGGGAGCAAACAGGAUUAGAGACCCGCGUAGUCCCUGUCUCUUAUAC